rnacentral:rRNA from 1 species
ACCAGACUCCUACGGGAGGCAGCAGUGAGGAAUAUUGGUCAAUGGCCGAGAGGCUGAACCAGCCAAGUCGCGUGAGGGAUGACGGCCCUACGGGUUGUAAACCUCUUUUGUCAGGGAACAAAGGCGGGGACUAGUCCCCGGAUGAGGGUACCUGAAGAAAAAGCAUCGGCUAACUCCGUGCCAGCAGCCGCGGUAAUACGGAGGAUGCGAGCGUUAUCCGGAUUUAUUGGGUUUAAAGGGUGCGCAGGCGGAGGUGCAAGUCAGCGGUCAAAUUGCGGGGCUCAACCCCGUACUGCCGUUGAAACUGCAUCCCUUGAGUGCGCGAGAAGUAUGCGGAAUGCGUGGUGUAGCGGUGAAAUGCAUAGAUAUCACGCAGAACUCCGAUUGCGAAGGCAGCAUACCGGCGCGCAACUGACGCUCAUGCACGAAAGCGUGGGUAUCGAACAGGAUUAGAUACCCGUGUAU